rnacentral:rRNA from 1 species
UACAGAGGUCCCAAGCGUUGUUCGGACUCAUUGGGCGUAAAGGGUGUGUAGGUGGCGCCGUAAGUCGGGUGUGAAAUUUCGGAGCUUAACUCCGAACCUGCAUUCGAUACUGCGGUGCUUGAGGACUGGAGAGGAGACUGGAAUUCAUGGUGUAGCAGUGAAAUGCGUAGAGAUCAUGAGGAAGACCAGUGGCGAAGGCGGGUCUCUGGACAGUUCCUGACACUGAGACACGAAGGCCAGGGGAGCAAACGGG